rnacentral:rRNA from 1 species
UACGUAGGGUGCAAGCGUUGUCCGGAAUUAUUGGGCGUAAAGAGCUCGUAGGCGGUUUGUCGCGUCUGCUGUGAAAUCCCAGGGCUUAACCCUGGGCCUGCAGUGGGUACGGGCAAACUAGAGUGCGGUAGGGGAGAUCGGAAUUCCUGGUGUAGCGGUGAAAUGCGCAGAUAUCAGGAAGAACACCUAUGGCGAAGGCAGCUCUCUGGGACGGUACUGACGCUGAGACGCGAAAGCGUGGGGAGCGAACAGG